rnacentral:tRNA from 1 species
GCGGGCGUGGUGGAACGGUAGACACAUGGCACUUAAAAUGCCUGGGCCGAAAGGCCGUGCGGGUUCGACUCCCGCCGCCCGCACCA